rnacentral:rRNA from 1 species
AGCGAACGCUGGCGGCAGGCUUAACACAUGCAAGUCGAACGGGCGUAGCAAUACGUCAGUGGCAGACGGGUGAGUAACGCGUGGGAACGUACCUUUUGGUUCGGAACAACACAGGGAAACUUGUGCUAAUACCGGAUAAGCCCUUACGGGGAAAGAUUUAUCGCCGAAAGAUCGGCCCGCGUCUGAUUAGCUAGUUGGUGAGGUAACGGCUCACCAAGGCGACGAUCAGUAGCUGGUCUGAGAGGAUGAUCAGCCACAUUGGGACUGAGACACGGCCCAAACUCCUACGGGAGGCAGCAGUGGGGAAUAUUGGACAAUGGGCGCAAGCCUGAUCCAGCCAUGCCGCGUGAGUGAUGAAGGCCCUAGGGUUGUAAAGCUCUUUUGUGCGGGAAGAUAAUGACGGU